rnacentral:misc_RNA from 1 species
AAGUCGUAACAAGGUUUUCGUAGGUGAACCUGCGAAAGGAUCAUUAGUGGGAUUUUCUUAUUCGUUUUCGUUCAGAAAACAGGCUUUGGCAAUGUCUCUUUGGGUUCCUUGACCGGGAUCCACUGAUGGAUAUCCUCUGCCGCGUCGAACCGUCUGGGUCGGGUGUCUUUACGCCCUUCCCGCCUUAUUUAAAUCUAUCGUCUUGUAUGUAUUUAGGGCCGGAUCGAAAGCUUUCGUUGCGCAGGCAGCCAGCCGUUAGGGCGGGGUCUCGGGAAAAGCGAGUAGAAAAGGUCUGGGGCCGAGCGAACGUCCUCAUCCAACCUUCGGGCGAGGGGGCACGGUAGCGGAGCCUUUUUGAACUCGAAACACAACUUUCAACAACGGAUCUCUUGGCUCUC